rnacentral:rRNA from 1 species
UACAGAGGGUGCAAGCGUUAAUCGGAAUUACUGGGCGUAAAGCGUGCGUAGACGGUUAUGUAAGUCAGGUGUGAAAGCCCCGGGCUCAACCUGGGAAUUGCAUUUGAGACUGCAUAGCUAGGGUGCGGAAGAGGGAAGCGGAAUUUCCGGUGUAGCGGUGAAAUGCGUAGAUAUCGGGAGGAACAUCAGUGGCGAAGGCGGCUUCCUGGUCCAGCACCGACGUUCAGGCACGAAAGCGUGGGGAGCAAACAGG